rnacentral:rRNA from 1 species
CUAGACUCCUACGGGAGGCAGCAGUGGGGAAUAUUGCACAAUGGGGGAAACCCUGAUGCAGCGACGCCGCGUGAGUGAAGAAGUAUUUCGGUAUGUAAAGCUCUAUCAGCAGGGAAGAAAAUGACGGUACCUGACUAAGAAGCCCCGGCUAACUACGUGCCAGCAGCCGCGGUAAUACGUAGGGGGCAAGCGUUAUCCGGAUUUACUGGGUGUAAAGGGAGCGUAGACGGCAUGGCAAGUCAGAUGUGAAAGCCCGGGGCUCAACCCCGGGACUGCAUUUGAAACUGUCAGGCUGGAGUGCAGGAGAGGUAAGUGGAAUUCCUAGUGUAGCGGUGAAAUGCGUAGAUAUUAGGAGGAACACCAGUGGCGAAGGCGGUCUGCUGGACAGCAACUGACGCUGAGGCGCGAAAGCGUGGGGAGCAAACAGGAUUAGAUACCCGUGUA